CUCUAAUGGUGUCUGCAGCAUUCCAGCCAGUUGCUUUGCCAGCUGCAUGUGGUAAUGAGUACCAGAUCCGUGUGUUUCCCUAGUAACUGGAUUGGCUAUGCCCAUACUCAGCAGAUAGGAUUUGAACCUAAUAGUCUCAUCCUCCGUGAUGUCACCUUGUUUUUCUUUAAUCUUAUUAGCAAUGGACUUGGAUAACUCCACCAUUUCCUUGGCCUUCUCCAUUAGCUUACUAAGGUCCUCAAAAGCCUCGGAAAUGUUUUUGUCAGUCUCUUUUCUUUUUGCCUCCAGUUUCCUUUCGAUCCCUACAAUUCCUACAGCCCUUAUUCUUCCUGCCUGUGGAUCCUUGUUAACCUGAAUGGUCUGUCCAGCAGGCAUGUUUUCCCAUCUCCUUUGUGUAAUUUCUUCUGAGAAUCGUCUAAAGAACUCGAUUUGCCCAUGCUCUUUGAAAGAAAGUUUUAUGUAGGAGUAUUUGCUGCUUUGGAAUGGGCCAGGCUCUUUGUUUGGAGAAGCAGGAUGAAGAUGAGCUACUAUUUUGGCACUUUUUCCUAUCCCAGCUGCUUGCUCUUCAAUAAAGACGACUUGAGACAGAGGUAUAGCAAUGCAGCAUUCAUGAUUCUUCUGAUCCCUCCAUAUCAAUCUGUGCGUGCUAAGCAGUAGUACUCCACUAUCAAAUUUCACCUUCUCCUCCCCGUCGUAGAGGCGCACGCCGCGCUGCUGGAGCACCAGCGUCUCUCCCAGCUCCAGCAGCCCGCUGGUCCAGGAGAACCGAUCCAUGGCGGUCCAGGCGGAACUCUCCGUUCCCCAGGAGAGACCAGGCCGCAGCCACCGCUCUCGUCCGGCAGGCAGCGGGCGAGCAGGGCCC
rnacentral:lncRNA from 1 species